UACGUAGGGUGCGAGCGUUAAUCGGAAUUACUGGGCGUAAAGCGUGCGCAGGCGGUUUUGUAAGCCAGAUGUGAAAUCCCCGGGCUUAACCUGGGAAUGGCAUUUGGGACUGCAAGGCUGGAGUGUGGCAGAGGAGACUGGAAUUCCUGGUGUAGCAGUGAAAUGCGCAGAUAUCAGGAGGAACACCGGUGGCGAAGGCGGGUCUCUGGGCCGAUACUGACGCUGAGGAGCGAAAGCGUGGGGAGCGAACAGG
rnacentral:rRNA from 1 species